CGGGACUGGUGAGUAACGCGUGAGGAACCUGCCUUCCAGAGGGGGACAACAGUUAGAAAUGACUGCUAAUACCGCAUAAGCGCACGGGACUGCAUGGUCUUGUGUGAAAAACUCCGGUGGUAUGAGAUGGACCCGCGUCUGAUUAGCUUGUUGGUGAGGUAACGGCCCACCAAGGCGACGAUCAGUAGCCGGCCUGAGAGGGUGAACGGCCACAUUGGGACUGAGACACGGCCCAAACUCCUACGGGAGGCAGCAG
rnacentral:rRNA from 1 species